GUCCAGCUGACGAGUCUCAUAUAGGACGAAACGCGCGUCCUGGAU
rnacentral:hammerhead_ribozyme from 1 species